AAGAAUAUACUUUCAGGGAUCAUUUCUACAGUUCAUUACUAGAGAAGUUUCUCUGAUUCUGUAGAGCACCGAAAACCAGGAGAGGAGCCAGAAGGUCAUCUCCUGAGCAUGAAACCCGUUCUAGGUGUUGCUUUUGCAGCUGCCUUUUACCAUUGAUGAUCAUUCUUCUCUUCCCUAGGAGAGGAAGACAAUGCAGUCUGAGCGU
rnacentral:snoRNA from 1 species